rnacentral:piRNA from 1 species
UUACACUUAGCUCGCAGAUACAUUGAGAA